ACGGGGGCCCGCACAAGCGGCGGAGCAUGCGGAUUAAUUCGAUGCAACGCGAAGAACCUUACCAAGGCUUGACAUACACUGGACCGUUCUGGAAACAGUUCUUCUCUUUGGAGCUGGUGUACAGGUGGUGCAUGGUUGCCGUCAGCUCGUGUCGUGAGAUGUUGGGUUAAGUCCCGCAACGAGCGCAACCCUCGUUCUAUGUUGCCAGCACGUGAUGGUGGGAACUCAUAGGAGACUGCCGGGGUCAACUCGGAGGAAGGUGGGGAUGACGUCAAAUCAUCAUGCCCUUUAUGUCUUGGGCUUCACGCAUGCUACAAUGGCUGGUACAGAGAGAGGCGAACCCGUGAGGGUAAGCGAAUCCCUUAAAGCCAGUCUCAGUUCGGAUCGUAGUCUGCAAUUCGACUACGUGAAGUCGGAGUCGCUAGUAAUCGCAGAUCAGCAACGCUGCGGUGAAUACGUUCCCGGGCCUUGUACACACCGCCCGUCAAGUCACGAAAGUCGGUAACACCCGAAGCCGGUGUCCCAACCCACUUGUGGGAGGGGGCCGUCUAAGGUGGGAC
rnacentral:rRNA from 1 species